GACGAACGCUGGCGGCGCGCUUAACACAUGCAAGUCGAGCGAGAACCGGUCCUUCGGGACCGGGGAAAGCGGCGAACGGGUGAGUAACACGUGGGUAAUCUGCCCUCGGUUUCGGGAUAGCCCGGGGAAACCCGGAUUAAUACCGAAUGGCCCUUUCGGUCUUCGGAUUGAAAGGAAAAGGUAGCUUCGGCCUCCGACCGAGGAUGAGCCCGCGGCGGAUUAGCUUGUUGGUGGGGUAACGGCCUACCAAGGCGACGGUCCGUAGCUGGUCUGAGAGGACGAGCAGCCACACUGGGACUGAGACACGGACCAGACUCCUGCGGGAGGAAGCAGUGGGGAAUCUUGCGCAAUGGGCGAAAGCCUGACGCAGCGACGCCGCGUGCGGGAAGAAGGCCUUCGGGUUGUAAACCGCUUUCAGGUGGGACGAAGCCACUCGGGUGAAUAGCCCAGAGGGUGACGGUACCUCCAGAAGAAGUCCCGGCUAACUACGUGCCAGCCGCCGCCGUAA
rnacentral:rRNA from 1 species